GAUGAACGCUGGCGGCGUGCCUAAUACAUGCCAGUCGAGCGAACAGACGAGGAGCUUGCUCCUUCGACGUUAGCGGCGGACGGGUGAGUAACACGUAGGUAACCUACCUAUAAGACUGGGAUAACUUCGGGAAACCGGAGCUAAUACCGGAUAAUAUUUCGAACCGCAUGGUUCGAUAGUGAAAGAUGGCUUUGCUAUCACUUAUAGAUGGACCUGCGCCGUAUUAGCUAGUUGGUAAGGUAACGGCUUACCAAGGCGACGAUACGUAGCCGACCUGAGAGGGUGAUCGGCCACACUGGAACUGAGACACGGUCCAGACUCCUACGGGAGGCAGCAGUAGGGAAUCUUCCGCAAUGGGCGAAAGCCUGACGGAGCAACGCCGCGUGAGUGAUGAAGGUCUUCGGAUCGUAAAACUCUGUUAUUAGGGAAGAACAAACGUGCAAGUAACUGUGCACGUCUUGACGGUACCUAAUCAGAAAGCCACGGCUAACUACGUG
rnacentral:rRNA from 1 species